rnacentral:misc_RNA from 1 species
GAUGAAGAACGUAGUGAAAUGCGAUAAGUAAUGCGAAUUGCAGAAUUCAGUGAGUCAUCGAAUCUUUGAACGCACAUUGCGCCCCUUGGUAUUCCGAGGGGCAUGCCUGUUCGAGCGUCAUUACACCACUCAAGCUAUGCUUGGUAUUGGGCGUCGUCCUUAGUUGGGCGCGCCUUAAAGACCUCGGCGAGGCCACUCCGGCUUUAGGCGUAGUAGAAUUUAUUCGAACGUCUGUCAAAGGAGAGGAACUCUGCCGACUGAAACCUUUAUUUUUCUAGGUUGACCUCGGAUCAGGUAGGGAUACCCGCUGAACUUAAGCAUAUCAAUAAGCGGAGGA